UAACAGUUGGAAACGGCUGCUAAUACCGGAUACGCUCAAAAUGAAACUUUUUUGAGGAAAGAUGGCCUCUGCUUGCAUGCUAUCGCGUAAGGAUGAGUCCGCGUCCCAGUUAGCUUGUUGGCGGGGUAACGGCCCACCAAGGCAACGAUGGGUAGCCGAUUUGAGAGGAUGAUCGGCCACACUGGAACUGAAACACGGCCCAGACUCCUACGGGAGGCAGCAGUGGGGAAUAUUGCGCAAUGGGCGAAAGCCUGACGCAGCGACGCCGCGUGAGGGGAAUGAAGGUUUUCGGAUCGUAAACCUCUGUCAGAAGGGAAGAAACUACAUUGUGCUAAUCAGCAGUGUACUGACGGUACCUUCAAAGGAAGCACCGGCUAACUCCGUGCCAGCCGCCGC
rnacentral:rRNA from 1 species